CAUUCUCAGAGCCACCUGGACCCCAGCUAGGGGUCUGACUCUAGGCCCCCACUUAUACAGGAAGGGAAUUGCAUAUUCUUAAUGAACUACCAACCUGCUUCUAGACAGGUUGGGGAACACAAGUCCAGAAGAAAUAGCCAGGAGCAAAAGACACAGAGACCCAGCCAGGCUGGCUUAUGACUCUUGCUUUGGAACAUGAUUUGGUGCCUGUUUGUGAGCACAUUGCCCUAAAGGCUCCUUUGAGGUUAGAAAAGCUAAGUCACCUUUGAUUCAUUGGGAUUGCCUGUACCUAUAUGGUAUCACUGAUCCAGGUCACAUCAGUUUGCAUCCACUUUGUCAUCCUGGACUCCUUCUUUGGAAAAACUGCCGAAAGAUGUUUCUCUCUUCACUGAAGUGAUUAGUGCAAAGGACAGGUAUGGGGAAUCUCAAAAUAGAUAAAUCAAAAAGCCUAGCCUCAGUGAUUUAAGGAGUUCAGUAAACUGACCUAUAAAUAAAGCCAGCUGAAAGAAGUUUGGAACAUAGAACACAGAAAUGUCUAUAUUUCUCUCUAAGGAGUGAAUGAACACGUGUCCCUGAGGAGCCCAGAGGGCAGGAAUCUGCCUCUAGUUUGUGCAGAUUAAAGACCACUUUCUCAUCUAGAGUGAAAGACACUGGACCUUGAAUUGGAAGAACUUGGAAAAAUUAAAAGGCGUGGAGACAUUAUUGUACUGAAUGUGAUUUCAGCUUUGAAUUUUCCAGAAUGUCAUCUCAUAGUAAAGGGAAGCAGAAUAUGAUGCCCCAAAAAUGUGACUGAGGGACUUCAGGACAUGCCACUCUAACAUAUGCUGCUUUGGUACACUGAUUACUUUGAGCUGAAGACAUCUGAAAACAGCAGGUGCAGGAGAGAUUCUGAUCUCCAUCAUCUGCCUUAAGUCAGAUCCUGCAAAAAGACCUCAACUGUCAUCAAUCCCCUCCGGGAGUGCCUUCAUCAGGGAUGAGGGACUCUCGUCACCGAAGACGAGCUUAGAAGUGGGCAUUGCACCCAGACACACUCUGUUCUGAACUUUCAGACCCCCCACCCCUUGCCCCGGCAUCAAGUCUCCUGAGGGCCCAUUUUUCCCUGUGUAUCUCCCAGGUGCACAUGAGACAGAAAUGUUAAUAGACUUAUUUUUGUUCUUUUCUUGUUAAUCUGUCUUUUACUGCAGGAGUCUCAGCUAAGAACUCAGAAGAGUAGAGGGAAAAUUAUUUUUCCUUCCCUACAGCAGGAAUCAUAUAGUAUGUAGCUUUUCAAAUUGGUGUUUUUUACUUAUCAACAUGAAUUUAAGGUUCUUCUAUGUCUUUUCAUGGUUUA